rnacentral:sRNA from 1 species
GCUGGGCAAGGUGGCACAUGCCUGUAAUCCCUGCAGCUCUGAAGCUGAGGCAGGAGGAUCGUGAGUUCAGAGCCAGCCUCAGCAAAAGGGAGGCAUUAAGUAACUCAGUGAGACCCUGUCUCUC